rnacentral:rRNA from 1 species
UACGGAGGGAGCUAGCGUUGUUCGGAAUUACUGGGCGUAAAGCGCACGUAGGCGGCUUUGUAAGUUAGAGGUGAAAGCCCGGGGCUCAACCCCGGAAUUGCCUUUAAGACUGCAUCGCUUGAAGUCCGGGAGAGGUGAGUGGAAUUCCGAGUGUAGAGGUGAAAUUCGUAGAUAUUCGGAAGAACACCAGUGGCGAAGGCGACUUACUGGACACAUAUUGACGCUGAGGUGCGAAAGCGUGGGGAGCAAACAGGAUUGAGAAACCCCGGU